rnacentral:rRNA from 1 species
GAUGAACGCUAGCGAGAGGCUUAACACAUGCAAGUCGAGGGACCGGCGCACGGGUGCGUAACGCGUAUGCAACUUGCAUCACAGAGGGGGAUAACCCGUCGCAAGACGGACUAAUACCACUUACUGUGAGAUAGGCAUGCGUCCUAUUAGCGAGUUGGUGAGGGAACGGCUCACCAAGGCAACGAUGGGUAGGGGAACUGAGAGGUUGCACCCCUAGACUGGAACUGAGACACGGACCACACGCCGACGGGAGGCAGCAGUGAGGAAUAUUGGUCAAUGGGCGCGGGCCUGAACCAGCCAAGUCGCGUGAAGGAUGACUGUCUAUUGAAUGUAAACUUCUUUUGUAGGGGAAUAUGUACCCUACGAAUAAGCAUCGGCUAACUCCGUGCCAGCCGCCGCGGUAAUUC